AUACGGAGGGUGCAGGCGUUAAUCGGAAUUACUGGGCGUAAAGCGUACGUAGGCGGUUUAUUAAGUCAGAUGUGAAAGCCCCGGGCUUAACCUGGGAACUGCAUUUGAAACUAGUAGACUAGAGUAUGGUAGAGGGGGGUAGAAUUCCUAGUGUAGCGGUGAAAUGCGUAGAUAUUAGGAGGAAUACCAGUGGCGAAGGCGGCCCCCUGGACCAAUACUGACGCUGAGGUACGAAAGCGUGGGGAGCGAACAGGAUUAGAUACCCUAGUAGUCC
rnacentral:rRNA from 1 species